rnacentral:lncRNA from 1 species
CUCCCCUCUAGUCCUCUUAAAGGUCGUAAUUUUAGAAUACUACGAUGCCGAUUUCUAUCUAUUAGGCUACUUUACAUUUACAUCUGAUAUCACGAAAAUUAUGGAUACCGAUCACAAAAGGCACUGUUCUUUGAAAUCGUUGAUAUGAUUUUGUUUUGUUGCUAUAUUCAGGUCACCAGCAGAAGAGCAACCUAGAAGGCUCACCUGGGAUCUGAUCGGUUUAAGACAUUAGAACUCUGUACGUUUACACAAAGAAGCAAUAAAGAUCAAUCGUUGGCCAAUCAUAUUAAAGUUUCUUCUAAAUUUUAUCUUCAUUUCAUUCGUGAGCUUUCAUUAUUACAACAAAUUGGUAUCAGAUCUGGAUCGAUUGAUUUUUUGUAAGGAUCUUUGGCUGCGUUUUCUUAUGGAUCGAUUGAAUAGGGUGAAGAAUUUUUUGGGUGACAAUUCAAUAACGGUUUUCGAUAUAAAGAUCUUGGGUGUGCGAUUUCUCUGUGCAUUUUCGAUCUUUAAAAAGGUAUAAAGCCAAUCUCAUCUCACUUUGCUUCUUUGAAUUCUUUUAAUGUUUUUUUGGGUGUCGAACGAAAGUGGCGUCUCUUAAAACACUCUCCCUCUUUAAGUAUUGUCAACUAGGUACCAAUUAAAUUACCAAUUAUAACGACCAAAACAGGAAAUCAACCAAGAAUUCGCUUGAUAAAUAUUCAAACAUAAAAAAGAAUGUGGUAUUUAAGUGGCAGAAAUCUAGCCAAGUAUUGUCAACUUGGUACCAAUUAUAAGUAAGUGGUUAUUAAAAUGACAAAUGACCAUAUAUAACAUCGCUAUGGAAUGCAAAAAGCUAAGCGAAGAAUAGAAAUUAAGAGUCUUUUACCAUAAUGUUUGGAAUUAUGGCACUCAAGUUGUUUCCUUUUAAAAAAUUAGCAUACCAAUGUGCAGAUAGCUUAGGAUAUCGAGUCAACUCCUUGUCAGCCAUGUCAACAUAGUACAGACCAUAAGCAGAAGCAUAGCCUCCAAUCACCUCAUAGAGAUCGAGGAAAGACCAAACAAAAUAUCCUCUUGUGUUUGAUCCAUUCCUAGUAUAACACAAGAAUUAAGAAAAAUGAUAUAUAUAUAUAUAUAUAUAUAUAUAUAUAUAUAUGAGGAUUAAAUAAUGAUCUAUAAAGCUCUCUAAAAAGAUUUUGAUUUAUUAGAAUGGAGUAGAAACUAGCAUCAUAUAUACCUUAGUGCAUCCAACAAAGCACCAAUAUAGGCAUGCAAGUACUCUACCCUUGGGGUGUCCAUCAAUGUUGCAUUUCGUGGUUGUGCUUGGCCUAUAAAGAAAAAAAAAAAAUCAUAUUUUAGGAUGUAGGUGACACAAAGAUAAACAUAUAAGUAAGAUGCAAUAGGAAUUUCAUAAGUAAUUUACCAUUUUCAUGGAUGUAGAUAGGAGGAUUUCCAUAUUCUUCCUUCAUAUAGUUAAGGAGACUUUGGAGACCCAAUGGAACCACCGGGAACUGAUCAGAUUAAAAAUAAAAAAAAUAAAACAUGAAACUCAGUCCAAUUGGAAAGGAAUAAUUAAUGUUUAAUAAUAAUAAUAAUAAGAAAAGAGAAACAACAAAUGAUCAAAAUGUUUAAACCUGAGCUGGAAAUUCAUUUCCAGUGCCGACUGCAGAAAUGUAAAUUAACAUCAUGUCAGUAUUAGUUUAUAUAGUGAUUGAUGUUUUAAGUGUCGAAUUUUUUCAAGAGGAAAACAUGUGAGGAAGUUAAAGGCAACUCUAUCUAGCAUGAAGAUUCAAGAUUUAGAGUGAAGUCAAUAUUCAUACAUGUAUAUGUUACUCCCAUGUCUGCAUCGAAAUCCCUGGUAUCCAUUUCAAGACUAAUGGAGUUGUCCUUCACAUAUAAUGUGGUAUAGUGGUUCAUGCCUAAGAAGUCAAAUGAACCCUUCAUUCUCUGUGAUUCAAAUCUUGUAAAAGUUGGAAUUCGGUUCCCUGCAUUCUUCUUCAUUAUUUCUGGGUAGUCCCCAUUCACCAAGGGAUUUAAAAACCUGAAAUAGGAACCAUAAAAACAAAGAUCAAAUGAAAGUUGAGUUUAAUGCAAUUACAAAAAGCAAUAUAUGACUCUUGGUGUUUCUAAUAAUAUCAAUAUUGGUAAAAAGGUUAGCAUUUGUGUUCACUCACCAACCCAAAUAGAAAUCACGGGCUCUUUGGGUAGCUUUAACAUCUUCCGUUUUGUUUGUAUAAGGUUCAAACCAAAAGCCCAACAGAUUUAAUCCAAUAAAACCAUGUUGCAUGGCCUACAUAUAUCACCAAUAUCCGUCAAGUGUCAUUGUAGUGAGUGUUUUUUGAAGAAAAUAGUAUAAAAAGAUAGCAUUAUGAUGACAUGAGAGCUUCAAUAUUGCAAAUCUUUAUUACCUUGUAUUUUUGGCGAUAAAGUCUUGCUGCUGACGCAUGUGAUAGCAACAAAUUGUGAGCUACAAGGUAUGGCUCAGAAGUAGAGUUACCUUUGCUACAGUUAAACCCAAAUGGGGAAGAACAACGUCCAGGAGGUGUGAACCCAUAAUCAUAACCACCUAAAGUAAAUAUAUUGGCUUCAUUAAAAGUUGUCCAGUGUAAAACCCUAUCACCAAAUUCUCUGAAGCAAACAUCAGCAUAUGCAACAAAGUCUUUCCUGUAAUAUUUAUAAACAUAUCAUUCAUGCAAAUAUUAUAUGACAAACACAACUAGUUCCAUGUUAGAAAUGUACACUGAUUUUCUACUAGUCCAUCCUCCAUAUUCAUCUGCAAGUAUCUGUGGUAUGUCGAAAUGAUUUAAAGUAACAUGUGGUUGUAUUCCUGUACACUCGGAACAAGUAAUUCAAUCUUUUUUAGGCAUUGUUUGUUUAGUUAGAAAAUUGAACUUGUAUUUCUUGAUGACAAGACAUUGGCAUUUUUAUAUCUAAUUACCAUGAGCAAUAAGCCUGUUGAUGAAAUCGUUGUAGAAUUGUAAGCCCUUUACAUUGAUCGAUCCUCUUCCAUCUUCAAAAAAUAAAAAUAAAGUAAAAUUGUUUAUAAGGAAGACAAGUGAAGAUCCAUAAAAUUUUCAUUAGACUAUUAAGUGAACAUACUAGGGAUGAGUCUCGACCAAGAGAUAGAAAAUCUAUAUGCUUCCAAACCCAUGUCUGCUAUAAGUUCAAUGUCUUCCUGCAUUAAUAUUCAACUACAAUGAGUUGUAGUGGCUCAAAGUAAACUAAUUUCUAUAUUAAUUAGGAGUCUACUAUUUUGACUUGUAAUGUUGUAUGAAGCCAUAUCUCCUUAAACAUGUAUUAAACCGAUUAGAAUGGAGUUCUUAUGCUAGUUAUCGAAAAAAUGAGUUGUUUGUUGUGGCAAAUCUAGAUGGUGUUUACCUUGUAUUUAUGGUACCCAUCACAUGUUAUGUCUGCAUUUUCUCCAUUGUUCCAGGGAACCCCUUCAUAGUAUCACACAAAAAAUUACAUUGAAACUUAAGAGUUGUAGCAUUUAGUAUUGGUGAUUUUAGUGUCAUCAAGCAAUUUAAGUAAUUAGGAUUUACACUACUACUUAAAGGAUUUAAAGUUAUGCUUGAAUAUGAGUCAUGAGGUGUGAGUCUUCACUCAUAUGAGCUAGUUUGAUCUUGGACACAACCAAUGGUAGGGAUCAAGGGGGUUGCACCCCUUAAGGGGUCUAGGGCAAUGCCAUGAAACCUCAAAGGUUCCGAAGUGUAGCGUUGAAACCUGCUACUAAAAACUUGGGCUGCAAACAGUUUUAGGGUCAUGUUGUUACAGCCAUGUCAAGAAUUUCAUAAUACCACCAACAACACGCAUUAGUAAUUAAUGUUCAUCUCGAUGAUGGAACUACUUGUAUAAACAUAGAGAGGUAUUUUGGAUUUUAUUGUUCUCUCUAAUAUUUGAGAUUGAACAAGCUAAACAUGAAUUUAGUCAAGGACAUAUAGUUAUUGACUAAAUUCAAAUUUGUCAUUUAGAUUGCAUUAUGCUCAAGUAAAUUUCAUGAUACCUAAUAACGUAAUUGUUGAAUAGUACUUUUGGAAAGUUUCUCACACGAUUCAUUUCGGAAUGUUUCUCACACAAUCCAUUUCUCUAUAAAUGCUUACACAAGAUCAAUACUCGCAUCGUUUGUCACACCUCCACUUAUACAAGAUCAAUAUUCACUGCAUCACUUUUGAACCGUCUAGACUGAUUUUACCCGAUUUGACCUUGACCGAUUAAUAAUUGUAGUCGGUAAAUUGCCGUCAUGCGCUCAAGCAGCGCCAAUUUAUUGGGGGCUUAGGCUGAUUUUUAAAACAUUGGUCUGAAGUCUCAGGCCUAACAUGAAAUAAUUUACCUACUUGAUAACUUCCAGCAGUGGACCAAUUUAUUGUCGGACCGAUUUCCACACAACCAGUCGAUUUCCAUUCGGAGUCAGAAAUCGAUAUGUAAUUGCUUGAUUAUUUUCAUUUUGCAAAACAUGAUUGACAACGAACAACAUCACUAUAUUUGAAGGCAAACUAGCAAAAACACUUACAAAAUACUUGGCAUCAUUGUCGAUUAUCUACAUAACAACUCUAGUUCCAAGACAAUAGAGAGAGAGAGACAAAAAGGUUCUGAUUUGUUUCUAAUCUUAACUUGAAAGCCUUCAAGUAAUUAAAUUUGUUAAAACCUUAACCUAUGGGUGUAGUUUAAAACUAUGAAAUGGGUGUGACAUGUCGAGUUUAAAACUAUGAAAUGGGUGUAAUUUAAAACUAUGAAAUGUUUGUGGUCCGGAAUGUUGAAAACAAUGUAUGACAUGUCGAGUUCGAAUGUACUAUGUGUGGAAUUAAGAACCAGAGGAAUGUCUAAAAUAUGCAAAAUGUCCAAAAUAUCAUAUCCCUAUAAAAAGGUAGUCCCAAAUGUCACAUCUCACAUGUCUAACUAACAUUUAAAACAAAAAAAAGGAGCUGAUAUUGCCACGGUAAUUAUUGAUUCAUCCACUGAAAAUAGAUUGACAAUUAUGCCCCUGCUUACUAAUCUUUCUAUCAAAAAAACCCACACAUCUGAAAAGUGAAAACUCCAAACCACGCACAACAAACAUACAAUUACUCCUCCUCAUUUGGUGCUGGUUCGAUCGAUUCUUUUUCAGCCGCCAACAUUGGUACAUGUAGUAGCCGGAAGCUGAUGGUGCACGUGGCUUGCAACAUAUUCAAUUCAAACGAGUGCAGUACACUCAUUAGAAGCUUUAAUCAACGGAGCUAUGCUGGGUGAUGGUGGUGGGGUUUCUUAUUUUGAGCUUUGAGUGAAACUUGAAGCGGUGAACACUAUCAGAAGAACGACAGGUGUUGAUAUCACAUAAAUUGCCCAAAAAAACCUUCUUUUCUUCUCUUCUCUCUGUGUGAUAUAAACCCAACAGCUAGGUUUUUUAUUUUAUUUUUUGUGUGUACAAAAACAUAGCAAGGAAUGAGAGAAACAUAGCAGGGAGUGAGAGGACUUUAUCCAACGAUGUGAACCCAUGUUUCAGUCGGCUCCUAACUGUGUUUAGAGUUUCCUUAAUGAUAUUGAAAAUCCCAGAGAUGUAAAUGAUGUGUUGAAUUACAAUUUGGUUUCUCACAAUUAUCAAGAUCUACAUACGGAGGUGGAUCUUAAACCUAAUUUGAUUAUUGGUUUCUCUCUCUAUCCUCAAUUGCAAUCACCUCAUUAUCCGAGACAAAGUAUAAGUCAAGCAAGCAUAGAUAGUACAAAUUCAUAUCUAAAAUGGGUUCAAGUCUUUGGAGAUAAAAUUGCUCUCCUGCUAGAUUAAUCUCUUACCUCAAUCAUCCAAAUGGUAUUGUUCAAUGUUCUUGAUUCUAUUCAUGUUUUUCUCCUUCAACUUCUUCAAUUUAUUUUUUGGGUAUGUCAUGAAAUCGUAAUGGAAAACCACAAAAGCAAGUAACCAAUAAAAAUUUGAAUAGCUCGGGCCAAGUAAACCACCAGAAGAUCUGAACGAAAAGAGGCGAGACGAUGAACAAUGUGCUCUAAUUUUGUUAUUAAUAAUGCCAUGAGCAGACCGGAUAAAACACCCAUAUUGGCACCAAUUUUCUUGAACACGGAGACGGUGUUGAGAGCAGAUUGAUUGUAACCUCGACGGGAUGAAAUGCCGGUAUGUUGGCCACUGUAGCUAUCCAUUUGUUGUUUUCCAUUACUAAUUUAUUACCCUUUAAAUCCAUAUACCAUAUCCAUGGACCGUGCCUACAAUGAUUCUGGUUUAUACUUCUUUAUAAUAGCUAUAGAACACCAAAAUUGGCAUCGGAUGAUGGGCGUGUGUGCCUUUUUUGAAACAAAGAUAAGGUUGCUCUUUUUUAAGUGAACAGGGGUAUAAUUGUAAAUCUCUAUUUUUUCGGUGGAAGCAUAAAAAAAUUCCGUGGCAAUAUCACCUCCCACAAAAAAAGGUAGUCUGAAAUGCAAUAUUUAGGACAUUGAUCAUUUUGGUAACUUUUGAAAGUUACAUUAUUAACUUAAACGUCUAAUAAUCAUGUAUCCAGUUUUCUUUAUAUAUUUCAUUAUAUUUUGAUUUGAUUCAUCUAUCUUUUUUAAGUCAAACUACAUACCAAAACAAAUAAAUUUUAAGAUAUUCAUUUUAUUUACCUCAUUUAUAUGGGACUUGAUUUAUAGGGUAAAUAGCACAAAAAACACUUUUUUUAUACAGAAAUUUGAUUUUGACACCGUGUUUUUUUUUUGUGUUAAUUUUGACACUGUGUUUUUCAAUUUGUUACAAUUCUGACCACUUGACUGGUUAACCAGGUUACAUGCUGACGUGACAUGAUGACGUGUCAAUUUUGAUGAGGUGGCAUGCUG